AACGCCGCAACUGGUCUCCGCUGCGCUUUCGCCGAUCGGAGAUGCGACGCGAUGGGCUCUGAAGGUAAAUUUCUUCCCUUUGUUUUUGAUAAAAGAAAAUAAAAUAAAAUAAAAUAGGCUAAGUAAAUAAAACGCAAAUCACCUUUAAACAAAACUUUGUACUUUCAAUAUUUUUCCUUUUGUAUUUCUCUGUAUUUUUUUUAUUUCCUUUUUUUUUCUUUUUUUUACAGAUUUCAAAGGCUUUUAUAGCCCGAAAAAGAAAAACUAGAUCGCAUCUAUCUAUUAUUUUGCUAUUUUCUCUCUGUUGGACUCUUUGAAUAUGCUUCUUUGCAGGUGUUGUGCGCGCGAAUGACGUGCGUGGAGAGGAGUCGGCCCCGAGUCGUGCGGUGCUUGGAGAGGCUGCUGGAGGCGGGGGACUACUUGCGGCGCUGAAGCAGAGAGGCUAGGGUUUCUGCUUAGUUUUUUAAUU
rnacentral:lncRNA from 1 species